CCAUGCUAAUUACUGCAAAUUAACAAGUAUGUGAACAGCAAUGCACUGUGUGGCUGUUUGGCCCACAGGCUUCAUCCCCCAUCUACCGCCUCCUCCUCGAGUCAUGGAGCAAUAUGUGACAGUGUGGGCAGAGAUGCCAUCUGGAAGACCUGCGAGGACAUGCUGUGUGUGUACAUUAGGACAAGGCAUGCCAAUCUCUGGGGGCUCUUUCUUACUGAGCUGGAUGCUGGGGAACAUUACCAGGGUGGAGAGUACUAUAGGCUGGAGGGCUGUCUGUCUCGAGACAUCUAGUCGCCAUUUGUCUCACUGGAUCCUAGGCACAGGAGCAGAGCCGAUCCUUAGGGUAGGACUCUGCUCAGAGGACUGGAGGGCAGCAUGACAAGCUAGGCAGGAAAAUUAACUUAACAAGCACUUACCUGUCAUGUGUUCAGGCUUGUUUAGAGCUUGAGGGAUUCACAACUGGGAAUGCUCCCACCCUGGGAUUUCCCAGGGUAACUGGUGGUGUUGGCCA
rnacentral:lncRNA from 1 species